AAAGAGUGUAGCUUUUUACUGUUCAUGUCCACAUUUGACCGUCUGUAUUAUUUAAAAAAAAAUUAUGAUUAAUAUUUUUAUUGUUACUAGAUGAUAAAACAUAAACAUUACUUCGUGUGUGAUUAUUUUUUUAUAAUUUUUUUAAAUAAGACGGACGAACAAACAUUAGACAUAGAAAUCCACAAUUGCACUUAUA
rnacentral:pre_miRNA from 1 species